UACGGAGGGUGCAAGCGUUGCUCGGAAUCACUGGGCGUAAAGCGACCGCAGGCGGCCUGACAAGUCGGAUGUGAAAGCCCUGGGCUCAACUCAGGAACUGCAUUCGAAACUGGUAGGCUCGAGUACGGGAGAGGGGGGUGGAAUUCCUGGUGUAGGGGUGAAAUUCGUUGAUAUCGGGAGGAACAUCAGUGGCGAAGGCGGCCCUCUGGUCCAGUACUGACACUCAAGUGCGAAAGCGUGGGGAGCAAACAGG
rnacentral:rRNA from 1 species